rnacentral:rRNA from 1 species
AUUGAACGCUGGCGGCAGGCUUAACACAUGCAAGUCGAGCGAGCGGAGGACGGGUGGGUAAUGUCUGGGAAACUGCCUGAUGGAGGGGGAUAACGACUGGAAACGGUAGCUAAUACCGCAUACCAUCGGAUGUGCCCACGUGGGAUUAGCGAGUAGGGUGGUUAAAGGCUCACCUUGGCGACGCGCCCUAGCUGGUCUGAGAGGAUGACCAGCCACACUAGGACUGAGACACGGUCCGGACUCCUACGGGAGGCAGCAGUAGGGAAUAUUGCACAAUGGGCGCAAGUCUGAUGGAGCCAUGCCGCGUGUAUGAAGAAGGCCUUCGGUUUGUAAAGUACUUUGGGCGGGGAGGCGUUACCCUCAGAAGAAGCACCGGCUAACUCCGUGCCAGCCGCCGCGGUAAUUC